rnacentral:rRNA from 1 species
CGUCACACUAUCAUUAACUGAAUCCAUAGGUUAAUGAGGCGAACCGGGGGAACUGAAACAUCUAAGUACCCCGAGGAAAAGAAAUCAACCGAGAUUCCCCCAGUAGCGGCGAGCGAACGGGGAGGAGCCCAGAGCCUGAAUCAGCAUGUGUGUUAGUGGAAGCGUCUGGAAAGGCGCGCGAUACAGGGUGACAGCCCCGUACACAAAAGCGCAUGUGCUGUGAGCUCGAUGAGUAGGGCGGGACACGUGGUAUCCUGUCUGAAUAUGGGGGGACCAUCCUCCAAGGCUAAAUACUCCUGACUGACCGAUAGUGAACCAGUACCGUGAGGGAAAGGCGAAAAGAACCCCGGCGAGGGGAGUGAAAAAGAACCUGAAACCGUGUACGUACAAGCAGUGGGAGCCCCACCACCAAAGCAUUUGCUGUACCGCGUUGACGGAGCGAAGCGACGUCAAACCGAUAAAACAGCAGUGUAAAGUGAGCCGCAGGGCGCUUUGCGCGACAGCGCAAAGGCAGGCGGUUUCGCGUAGCGAAAGCGAAUGCUUUGGGGUGG